ACUGAAGGGAAAUUGUUAAACCAUGUGUUUUGAAAUAGUUUUACAUCAAUUUUAACUAGCCAUGUUCCAUAGAAAACUCUAUAGAUUUGCCUUUGCCGAUGUGGAAAGGGACAAUGCAUGGAUGGUAAUCUUUUCAAAUGUUCAGCCCAAUGUUAACCAGCAUCAUGAUAUUGUGAAAGUACAUUGUGUACAACUGUACAAAUGAAUGUACAUUUUUUACUGACAUCAAAAUAAUACACCAACACAGCUCAUCUACUUUAAUGCCUUUAAUGAUGUAUAGGUAGUGCUGUUUUUGUCUUCAUUAUAAAUCACUGCCCCCCCCCCCUUAUUAUGCAUGUUAUUAUUAUUGACCCCCUUCUCUAUCUGGCAUUUUGCUAGGCUAAAUAAUGUUUUCCUGCAACAACUUCAAAUCAAACAAUGAAAGAUGUUUUCCUGCAACGGUGUCAAAGCAAAAAUCAAAAUAGCCUUGCAAGAUUGUGGCGUCAAAGCAAAUAAUUAAAAUAGCAAGACGUCAUAAUUUUUUUUAAACCUGUGCAUUAUGUCAAAUGUACCUGAGCUUUAUCUUUUGUAGACCGAACUGCUCAUAACUAUACUUCAGUCAAGUCCAGUUAGAGUUUAUAUAUAUAUAAUAUAUAAAGGAUAUUCUGUUAUCCAAAAUAUCUCAACAUUCUUUUGAUCCUACAAUAUUGCAAAAUAUUUUAUUUUAAAACAAUAGAAACAUUGCUACAAAUAUAAAUUAUUCCUAAAUUUGCAUAAACCCAUAGAAAUCUAACAUAAAUUUUGCAAAUAUAAUUGUUAGAGCAAAGAUCUUGAGGUAGUAUUGCUAUUGUUAAGGACAUAUUUGAUAUUGGAAUUGUUUAAGCCAUAUGCUAUUGUAUUAUUAUUGCCACAUGUAACUAUAUUACACCUUUUUUUCAGUAUUUUCCAAAAUGCUCAAACUGGUGAAUGCUAAGAAGAAAAGUCUAGGCACAAGGAUUCAAGUCCCCAAAAAAGUCUAAGCAGUUGUGUGCCAACAGCAGUUGACCAUUCAUGCACUAAUCAUGUGGAC
rnacentral:lncRNA from 1 species